rnacentral:rRNA from 1 species
AUUGAACGCUGGCGGCAUGCCUUACACAUGCAAGUCGAACGGCAGCACGGGAGCAAUCCUGGUGGCGAGUGGCGAACGGGUGAGUAAUAUAUCGGAACGUGCCCAGUCGUGGGGGAUAACGUAGCGAAAGCUACGCUAAUACCGCAUACGAUCUAUGGAUGAAAGCGGGGGAUCGCAAGACCUCGCGCGAUUGGAGCGGCCGAUAUCAGAUUAGGUAGUUGGUGGGGUAAAAGCUUACCAAGCCUGCGAUCUGUAGCUGGUCUGAGAGGACGACCAGCCACACUGGAACUGAGACACGGUCCAGACUCCUACGGGAGGCAGCAGUGGGGAAUUUUGGACAAUGGGCGCAAGCCUGAUCCAGCAAUGCCGCGUGCAGGAUGAAGGCC